GACAUGCAGAGAACUUUCCAGAGAUGAAUUGGUGCCUUCGGGAACUCUGACACAGGUGCUGCAUGGCUGUCGUCAGCUCGUGUCGUGAGAUGUUGGGUUAAGUCCCGCAACGAGCGCAACCCUUGCCUUUAGUUGCCAGCAGUUCGGCUGGGCACUCUAAAGGGACUGCCGGUGUUAAACCGGAGGAAGGUGGGGAUGACGUCAAGUCCUCAUGGCCUUUAUGACCAGGGCUACACACGUACUACAAUGGCCGAUACAAAGGGCAGCGACACUGCGAGGUGAAGCCAAUCCCGUAAAAUCGGUCUCAGUCCGGAUUGGAGUCUGCAACUCGACUCCAUGAAGUUGGAAUCGCUAGUAAUCGUGGAUCAGCAUGCCACGGUGAAUACGUUCCCGGGCCUU
rnacentral:rRNA from 1 species